rnacentral:lncRNA from 1 species
GAUGUUUGACAGUGUUAAAAAUGUGUGAUUUGUUUAUAUAUGGCCAGAGUACACAGUUAUCGUCCUUUGAUUUUCAUUGUCCACGAAUAUAGUCCUUAGUGUGUACAGUGUACGAAUAUAGUCCUUAGUGUGGACAGUGUACGAAUAUAGUCCUUAGUGUGGACAGUGUGUUACUUGCCAAUCUUUUUAUACCCCUUCCGAAUUUAUUUCUCCAUGUUUUAUGCCUCUCAUAGCAAGUAGGGGAUGAAAUGACACUGUAAACAAAUUUGGGUCAUCAAUUCUAAUGUAAAGUAGUGAUUAGGUCCAGCCGAAAAAGGUAAAAAAAUUAGCACUUCGGAAGCUGUCAAAAAAUUUCAAGACCCC